GACGAACGCUGGCGGCGUGCUUAACACAUGCAAGUCGAACGGAAAGGCCCUGCUUUUGUGGGGUGCUCGAGUGGCGAACGGGUGAGUAACACGUGAGUAACCUGCCCUUGACUUUGGGAUAACUUCAGGAAACUGGGGCUAAUACCGGAUAGGAGCUCCUGCUGCAUGGUGGGGGUUGGAAAGUUUCGGCGGUUGGGGAUGGACUCGCGGCUUAUCAGCUUGUUGGUGGGGUAGUGGCUUACCAAGGCUUUGACGGGUAGCCGGCCUGAGAGGGUGACCGGCAACGUGGGGAGGGAUGGAGGGCGCAGCAGCGACGGGGGGGCAGAGGGGGGAAUUAUGCAAGAGGGGCGGCAGGCGGGAGACGAAAGCCCGCGGGGCGGAAGACGGGCUUGUGGGGUAAAAACCGUUUGCGCCGGAAAGAAGGGGGGAGGGACGGUAGGGAAUAAGAAAGCCCCGGCUAACUACGUG
rnacentral:rRNA from 1 species